UUGGAAAAAACAAGCACAUUAGUUUCAGUUUCUGUUGGUCAAGAUGAAAACAGCGGACAAUGAUGAAAUUUAUUAUUGGUGUUCCACCCAUCUCCUACCCACACUUCAAGGUCCACUUCAGGCCCCAGCCCCCAACAAAGCUGUUCAGGACCAGUGACUCUACAAUCUGAGACAAUGUGUACUUGUUGGAAGGACCUUCACAGCAUAUAGUCUAUGAAUCCAUGGGUAAGAGACUUCAUCACAGCCAUGGAAGAAUUAAUGAUGCUUAAUAACUCUUUGUGGACUCAACUGAAUAAAUGACUGACCUUAUAGCAGUUCUGCCAUCAUCUCCAUUCUUUUCCACUUUGGCUCACAAGACCCUACAGGAAUCUGAGGCCACUGACAACACCAACCUCACAUGUUCUCUGUGGGAUCUCAAGACUGCAGAUUUAACCACCUGGUCCUGAACUCAACAACAACCUGCCUACCAAUUACUUUAGUGAUUCAAACAGAAGCUCUUAGCUGCUUGUAUAUUAUGUAUGAUUUUUCUACCACUGCAUCUAGCUGUAACAAAUCCUACAUUUUUAUUCUUUCUAAAUCAAAUUGAUUCUGACUUCGUGCCUACACUAGUCAUGGAACUUCUUUCUCCCAAAGAAAUUCAAACUCUAAUAUUUUUGGAAACAGGUGGCUUAUGUGAGUAUCCAGAAACUGAGGAA
rnacentral:lncRNA from 1 species